rnacentral:rRNA from 1 species
AAAGCUUGCUUGUUGGGGUUGUAGGACACUCUAUACGGAGUUACAAAGGACGACAUUAGACGAAUCAUCUGGAAAGAUGAAUCAAAGAAGGUAAUAAUCCUGUAGUCGAAAAUGUUGUCUCUCUUGAGUGGAUCCUGAGUACGACGGAGCACGUGAAAUUCCGUCGGAAUCUGGGAGGACCAUCUCCUAAGGCUAAAUACUCUCUAGUGACCGAUAGUGAACCAGUACCGUGAGGGAAAGGUGAAAAGCACCCCGGAAGGGGAGUGAAAUAGAACCUGAAACCGUGUGCUUACAAGUAGUCAGAGCCCGUUAAUGGGUGAUGGCGUGCCUUUUGUAGAAUGAACCGGCGAGUUACGAUUUGAUGCAAGGUUAAGCAGUAAAUGUGGAGCCGUAGCGAAAGCGAGUCUGAAUAGGGCGUUUAGUAUUUGGUCGUAGACCCGAAACCAGGUGAUCUACCCUUGGUCAGGUUGAAGUUCAGGUAACACUGAAUGGAGGACCGAACCGACUUACGUUGAAAAGUGAGCGGAUGAACUGAGGGUAGCGGAGAAAUUCCAAUCGAACCUGGAGAUAGCUGGUUCUCUCCGAAAUAGCUUUAGGGCUAGCCUCAAGUGAUGAUUAUUGGAGGUAGAGCACUGUUUGGACGAGGGGCCCCUCUCGGGUUACCGAAUUCAGACAAACUCCGAAUGCCAAUUAAUUUAACUUGGGAGUCAGAACAUGGGUGAUAAGGUCCGUGUUCGAAAGGGAAACAGCCCAGACCACCAGCUAAGGUCCCAAAAUAUAUGUUAAGUGGAAAAGGAUGUGGCGUUGCCCAGACAACUAGGAUGUUGGCUUAGAAGCAGCCAUCAUUUAAAGAGUGCGUAAUAGCUCACUAGUCGAGUGACACUGCGCCGAAAAUGUACCGGGGCUAAACAUAUUACCGAAGCUGUGGAUUGUCCUUUGGACAAUGGUAGGAGAGCGUUCUAAGGGCGUUGAAGCAUGAUCGUAAGGACAUGUGGAGCGCUUAGAAGUGAGAAUGCCGGUGUGAGUAGCGAAAGACGGGUGAGAAUCCCGUCCACCGAUUGACUAAGGUUUCCAGAGGAAGGCUCGUCCGCUCUGGGUUAGUCGGGUCCUAAGCUGAGGCCGACAGGCGUAGGCGAUGGAUAACAGGUUGAUAUUCCUGUACCACCUAUAAUCGUUUUAAUCGAUGGGGGGACGCAGUAGGAUAGGCGAAGCGUGCGAUUGGAUUGCACGUCUAAGCAGUAAGGCUGAGUAUUAGGCAAAUCCGGUACUCGUUAAGGCUGAGCUGUGAUGGGGAGAAGACAUUGUGUCUUCGAGUCGUUGAUUUCACACUGCCGAGAAAAGCCUCUAGAUAGAAAAUAGGUGCCCGUACCGCAAACCGACACAGGUAGUCAAGAUGAGAAUUCUAAGGUGAGCGAGCGAACUCUCGUUAAGGAACUCGGCAAAAUGACCCCGUAACUUCGGGAGAAGGGGUGCUCUUUAGGGUUAACGCCCAGAAGAGCCGCAGUGAAUAGGCCCAAGCGACUGUUUAUCAAAAACACAGGUCUCUGCUAAACCGUAAGGUGAUGUAUAGGGGCUGACGCCUGCCCGGUGCUGGAAGGUUAAGAGGAGUGGUUAGCUUCUGCGAAGCUACGAAUCGAAGCCCCAGUAAACGGCGGCCGUAACUAUAACGGUCCUAAGGUAGCGAAAUUCCUUGUCGGGUAAGUUCCGACCCGCACGAAAGGCGUAACGAUUUGGGCACUGUCUCAACGAGAGACUCGGUGAAAUCAUAGUACCUGUGAAGAUGCAGGUUACCCGCGACAGGACGGAAAGACCCCGUGGAGCUUUACUGUAGCCUGAUAUUGAAAUUCGGCACAGCUUGUACAGGAUAGGUAGGAGCCUUUGAAACGUGAGCGCUAGCUUACGUGGAGGCGCUGGUGGGAUACUACCCUAGCUGUGUUGGCUUUCUAACCCGCACCACUUAUCGUGGUGGGAGACAGUGUCAGGCGGGCAGUUUGACUGGGGCGGUCGCCUCCUAAAAGGUAACGGAGGCGCUCAAAGGUUCCCUCAGAAUGGUUGGAAAUCAUUCAUAGAGUGUAAAGGCAUAAGGGAGCUUGACUGCGAGACCUACAAGUCGAGCAGGGUCGAAAGACGGACUUAGUGAUCCGGUGGUUCCGCAUGGAAGGGCCAUCGCUCAACGGAUAAAAGCUACCCCGGGGAUAACAGGCUUAUCUCCCCCAAGAGUUCACAUCGACGGGGAGGUUUGGCACCUCGAUGUCGGCUCAUCGCAUCCUGGGGCUGUAGUCGGUCCCAAGGGUUGGGCUGUUCGCCCAUUAAAGCGGUACGCGAGCUGGGUUCAGAACGUCGUGAGACAGUUCGGUCCCUAUCCGUCGUGGGCGUAGGAAAUUUGAGAGGAGCUGUCCUUAGUACGAGAGGACCGGGAUGGACAUACCUCUGGUGUACCAGUUGUCGUGCCAACGGCAUAGCUGGGUAGCUAUGUGUGGACGGGAUAAGUGCUGAAAGCAUCUAAGCAUGAAGCCCCCCUCAAGAUGAGAUUUCCCAACUUCGGUUAUAAGAUCCCUCAAAGAUGAUGAGGUUAAUAGGUUCGAGGUGGAAGCAUGGUGACAUGUGGAGCUGACGAAUACUAAUCGAUCGAAGACUUAAUCAA